UCUGUAAAAGGCAAAGGGAAGUGGAAAGGAGAGAGAGAGGUGUGAGUCUUUUGGCAAGAGAGCCUUCUGAAGAAUGGCAGCUCUUACGGCUUCCAGCCACUGCUGCCUGCUCAGUCCACCUUGCCAGGGCUGCUGUGGCAAGGGAGGGCAGGAGGGCAAGGGACGUGUUUGGAGGCAAGCAGCCAGCUCUCUUGCUGCGUGGCAGAGCCAAGGGCUAGCACCACGGACACAGAGCGCACCCCAUUCCUGUCUUUUUUUCUUCUAGGUACAAGGAGCCUCUCACACACCAGAGAGACUCACCUAUCUUCUCCUCAGCUUGCCCUGCAAAACAAAGGAGAAGUGUGCUCACAGCCUGCCUGGGGAUGGAUUGCAUGGAGCUCUGCAGUGRGCACUGUGAUAAGGUUUUGAUUGCCCUGAGAAGACAACCGCCUCCAUCGACUAGUGCAGGACUGUGCUGACACCAAGGCCUGCCCUGCGAAACCCCUUGUUGGCUGGGGUCACACAGCCAGGCAAAGGACACCGCUGUAGAGACCCCCUAAGAGAGCUCACACGGGCUGGCUUUUCUUCAUAGCAAAGUUCAUAUUCCCACCGCCCUCCCUUCCUCCAUUCUCUCCUUCCCAACUUCCUCACUUCUAUCACCCUCUGUUCCUCCCUUCCUUCACACCUCCUUGACCUCUCCCCUCCUUCUUUCCCUUCAUACUUCCCGUCCUUCACUCUGCCCUUCUUUCCUUACUUCUUUCCUUCCCCCCUCCCUUCCCCCCUCCCUUCCAUUAAGCCAUCACCUUACUGGCUUCCUUCCAUCCUACUGUUCCUCACUUCUACUCCUCAGCCCUGCCCUGCCCUGCCAUUCCACCUCGUACAUUUCCUUCCCUCCUCCUUUCCUGCUGUCUGCUCACUCCAGCCCACCACAGCAAUCGCGGCAGCAGAGGGCACGAGGACAAGGGACAACUUGGGAGGCAAGCAGCAGGUGCUCUUCCUUGGUGGCAGAGCAAAGGGCUGGCCCCACGGACACACAGUGCUCCCCAUUCCCACCUACCCCUCCAGCAACAAGGAGCCUCUCUCACACGCCAGGAAGCACUCACCUAGGCCCUCAUGCCCUGCCACACAUCCACCCUUCCCUUCUCUUCCACUCAGCCUUAAUGGCUUCCUUCCCUCCUUCUGGCCCUGCUUAUCGCUUCCUCCUCUCCUCUCCUCUCCUCACCUUCCUUCCUUCCUUCGCUCACCCCUCAUUCCAGUUCUGCCUUCCGGCCCUCUCUACCUCCUUCCCCCAUGCUCCUGUUCCUGAGGCAAGCCUGCUGGGCAGGCUCCAGAUGAAGAYGAAGACCUCCGCUGGGCAGCCUGCACAGGGGCAGCAGCUCCACUCCUGCUCACAACGAGGGGCUCCUUGCCUGCCCCAAGAAGCCCCUUGGCUUUGAGCGCCAGCAACUCCCUCCCACCAUGCCACCUCUCCACAAGGGCCAUGUCCCAGGCAGCGCAGACCACUUACCCUUUUCUUCUUUCCCCUGAGCUACAAAAGGAAGGGAAAAGGCUCUUGGAAAAGACAAGGCGUGCCUCAGACCCCGCCACGGCUCCCCACCCAGGUGUUUGCUGACUUCUCCCUUUGCCUUGUUGCAGCUCUCUUCCCAGUCCGCGUUCUGCACCCCGGGCACUCCAGGAGCAACCCCUCAGCCUUGGGCCCAAGGAGAUCCUUUGACAUAAUGGCCUUCCCUUUCUACAGGGCCUUGAUUAUCACAACACCAUGUGUCCCUACACAACUGGGUGAGGCCAGGAGACUUUCCUGAGAUGAGCAGGUGCCCCAAGGAGGUCUCAGCAGUUCACAGUUGCCAAAGAAUUAUUGGAAGAGAAAGGUCACGUGCUGUGUUCUUCCAGCAGUUCGUCUGCACCCCCUGCUACCUGCUCAGCCCACGUUGCCAGGGCUGCCAUGGCAGUGGAGUGCAGGAGGGCAAGGGACAGCUUGGGAUGCAAGCAGCAGGCUUCCUUCAUGGCUGGCAGGGUGAAG
ensembl:lncRNA